UACGUAUGGGGCAAGCGUUGUUCGGAAUUAUUGGGCGUAAAGGGCGUGUAGGCGGUUUUGUAAGCCUGGUGUUAAAUUUUUCGGCUUAACCGAAAAAGUGCGCUGGGAACUGCGAGACUAGAGUUUUGGAAGGGAAGCUGGAAUUCCAGGUGUAGGGGUGAAAUCUGUAGAUAUCUGGAAGAACACCAAAGGCGAAGGCAAGCUUCUGGCCAAGGACUGACGCUGAGGCGCGAAAGCGUGGGGAGCAAAC
rnacentral:rRNA from 1 species